rnacentral:rRNA from 1 species
CGUCUAUAUACGUAUAGCAUAUCAAUAAGCGGAGGAAAAGAAACUAACAAGGAUUCCCUUAGUAACGGCGAGUGAAGCGGGAAGAGCUCAAAUUUGAAAUCUUCAAGGUUCUACCUUGACGAAUUGUAGUUUAAAGAAGUGUUUUCUGUUGAAGUGAGUACAAAAGUUCCUUUGGAAUAGGGACAUCAUAGAGGGUGAGAAUCCCGUAUUUGACAUUAUUCUUUCUAGCUGUGUGAUACACUUUCAAAGAGUCGGAUUGUUUGGGAAUGCAGUCCAAAAUGGGUGGUAAAUUUCAUCUAAAGCUAAAUAUUGGCGAGAGACCGAUAGCGAACAAGUACCGUGAGGGAAAGAUGAAAAGAACUUUGAAAAGAGAGUUAAACAGUACGUGAAAUUGUCAAAAGGGAAGCGUUUGACACCAGUGUUGUUUUUCCGAAAAUCAAUUAAGAAUGGACUUGAUUUUGUGUUGUAUUGACCUUAUCAGCUUUCUUCACUCUUUUUCGAGUCUUUCUUAAUGCACUUUUCGGUUAACAAGUCAACAUCAAUUUCUUUUGUUGUAAAAGGGUAUUUGGAAGGUGGCUUUCUUUUCGGAGAAAGUGUUUAUAGCCUUAUACCUCUACAAUCGGAGAGAUUGAGGUCUGCAGCGUAGAUCCUUCGGGGCUAGAUACACUUGUGCUAAGUUAUAGCUUUUCAUAGACAACUUGUUGACUAUGUUUAGUCAUGUAGCUUACCCGCUUGUGCUAUUUUACCUACGCUUAGGAUGUUGAGUCAUCACACAUCUC